CCUGCUAUCAGAGUUCGAUUAAGCCAUGCGAGUCGAGAGGUGCAAGACCUCGGCAUACUGCUCAGUAACACGUGGACAACCUACCCUACAGAAGGGGAUAACCCCGGGAAACUGGGGAUAAUACCCUAUAGACUAUGGAUGCUGGAAUGCUCUGUAGCCGAAAGGUCCGCCGCUGUAGGAUGGGUCUGCGGCCGAUUAGGUUGUUGUUGGGGUAACGGCCCAACAAGCCUGUAAUCGGUACGGGUUGUGGGAGCAAGAGCCCGGAGAUGGAUUCUGAGACACGAAUCCAGGCCCUACGGGGCGCAGCAGGCGCGAAAACUUUGCAAUGCGGGAAACCGUGACAAGGGAACUCUGAGUGCCCGUAAAAUCGGGCUGUCCAUCAGUUUAAACAACUGGUGAAGAAAGGGCCGGGCAAGACCGGUGCCAGCCGCCGCGGUAAUACCGGCGGCUCGAGUGGUGGCCACUAUUACUGGGCUUAAAGCGUUCGUAGCUGGUCUGUUAAGUCCCUGGGGAAAUCU
rnacentral:rRNA from 1 species